GACGAACGCUGGCGGCGGGCUUAACACAUGCAAGUCGAACGGUUAACCGCUUCGGAGUGCAGCAGUGGCGAACGGGUGAGUAACACUUGGGCAACCUGCCCCCGGCUCUUGGAUAACUCCAAGAACUUGGGGCUAAUACCGGAUAUUCACCGCUUCGCGCAUGGGUGGUGGUGGAAAGGGUUUCCGGCUGGGGCUGGGCCCGCGGCCUAUCAGCUUGUUGGUGGGGUAGAGGCCUACCAAGGCGACGAUCGGUAACCGGGCUGAGAGGGUGACCGGCCACACUGGAGCUGAGGCACGGUCCAGACUCCUACGGGGGGCAGCGGUGGGGAAUAUGGGACGAUGGGCGGAGGGCUGGAGCAGCCAUGCCGCGUGUGUGAAGAAGGCCUUCGGGUUGUAAAGCACUUUAAGGGGGGAGGAAGGGCAUAAAGUUAAUACCCUGGCGCAUAAGCGUUACCAACAGAAUAAGCACCGGCUAACUCCGUG
rnacentral:rRNA from 1 species